rnacentral:rRNA from 1 species
UCCCAAGCGUUGUUCGGAAUCACUGGGCGUAAAGCGUGCGUAGGCGGUUUCGUAAGUCGUGUGUGAAAGGCGGGGGCUCAACCCCCGGACUGCACAUGAUACUGCGAGACUAGAGUAAUGGAGGGGGAACCGGAAUUCUCGGUGUAGCAGUGAAAUGCGUAGAUAUCGAGAGGAACACUCGUGGCGAAGGCGGGUUCCUGGACAUUAACUGACGCUGAGGCACGAAGGCCAGGGGAGCGAAAGGG